rnacentral:rRNA from 1 species
UACGGAGGGUGCAAGCGUUAUCCGGAUUCACUGGGUUUAAAGCGCGUGUAGGCGGCUAUGUAAGUCGGGCGUGAAAUCCCACGGCUCAACCGUGGAAGUGCACCCGAAACUGCGUAGCUAGAGUCCUGGAGAGGAAGGUGGAAUGCUUGGUGUAGAGGUGAAAUUCGUAGAUAUCAAGCGGAACACCGGUGGCGAAGGCGGCCUUCUGGACAGUGACUGACGCUGAGACGCGAAAGCGUGGGGAGCAAACAGG